GACGUAGGGGGCCAGCGUUGUUCGGAAUUACUGGGUGUAAAGGGUUCGUAGGCGGUGCGGCAAGUCGGGAGUGAAAUUUCUGGGCUUAACUCAGAACCUGCUUCCGAAACUGCUGUGCUAGAGUGUGGGAGAGGCGCGUGGAAUUGCAGGUGUAGCGGUGAAAUGCGUAGAUAUCUGCAGGAACACCCGUGGCGAAAGCGGCGCGCUGGACCAUUACUGACGCUGAGGAACGAAAGCUAGGGGAGCAAACAGG
rnacentral:rRNA from 1 species